CCUACGGGAGGCAGCAGUGAGGAAUAUUGGUCAAUGGCCGUAAGGCUGAACCAGCCAAGCCGCGUGAAGGAAGAAGGAUCUAUGGUUUGUAAACUUCUUUUGUCGGGGAAUAAAGGUAUCCACGUGUGGAUAUUUGCAUGUACCUUAUGAAUAAGCAUCGGCUAACUCCGUGCCAGCAGCCGCGGUAAUACGGAGGAUGCGAGCGUUAUCCGGAUUUAUUGGGUUUAAAGGGUGCGUAGGUUGUUUUUUAAGUCAGCGGUGAAAGUUUGUGGCUCAACCAGAAAAUUGCCGUUGAAACUGGAAGACUUGAGUGUGUUUGAGGUAGGCGGAAUGCGUGGUGUAGCGGUGAAAUGCAUAGAUAUCACGCAGAACUCCGAUUGCGAAGGCAGCUUACUAGGCCAUAACUGACGCUGAGGCACGAAAGCGUGGGGAUCGAACAGGAUUAGAUACCCGUGUAGUC
rnacentral:rRNA from 1 species